GACGAACGCUGGCGGCGUGCUUAACACAUGCAAGUCGAACGGAAAGGCCCUGCUUUUGUGGGGUGCUCGAGUGGCGAACGGGUGAGUAACACGUGAGUAACCUGCCCUUGACUUUGGGAUAACUUCAGGAAACUGGGGCUAAUACCGGAUAGGUGCUCCUGCUGCAUGGUGUGGUUUGGAAAGUUUCGGCGGUUGGGUAUGGACUCGCGGCUUAUCAGCUUGUUGGUGGGGUAGUGGCUUACCAAGACUUUGACGGGUAGCCGGCCUGAGCAGGUGACCGGCGAAAUUGGGCCUGCGAUACGGCCCAGACUCAUCCGGGAGGUAACAGUGGGGAAUAUUGCACGAUGGGAGGAAGCGUGAUGCAGCAAUGCCGCGUGCGGGAUGAAGGCCUUGGGGUUGUAAACCGAUUUCGCCUGUGACGAACCGUGAGUGACGGUAAUGGGUAAAGAAGCACCGGCUAACUACGUG
rnacentral:rRNA from 1 species